UGGGCACUAGGUGUGGGGGACAUUCCACGUUUUCCGCGCCGUAGCUAACGCAUUAAGUGCCCCGCCUGGGGAGUACGGCCGCAAGGCUAAAACUCAAAGAAAUUGACGGGGGCCCGCACAAGCGGCGGAGCAUGCGGAUUAAUUCGAUGCAACGCGAAGAACCUUACCAAGGCUUGACAUGAACCGGAAAGGCGUAGAAAUACGUCCCCCACUUGUGGUCGGUUUACAGGUGGUGCAUGGCUGUCGUCAG
rnacentral:rRNA from 1 species